rnacentral:rRNA from 1 species
UACGGAGGGGGCAAGCGUUCUUCGGAAUUAUUGGGCGUAAAGGGCGCGUAGGCGGCUAGACGUGUCAAAGGUGAAAUCCCUCGGCUCAACUGAGGAACUGCCUUUGAAACUGUCUGGCUUGAGGCCGGGAGAGGGUAGCGGAAUUCCCAGUGUAGCGGUGAAAUGCGUAGAUAUUGGGAGGAACACCAGUGGCGAAGGCGGCUACCUGGACCGGUUCUGACGCUGAGGCGCGAAAGCGUGGGUAGCAAACAGG